rnacentral:misc_RNA from 1 species
GAUGAAGAACGCAGCGAAAUGCGAUAAGUAAUGUGAAUUGCAGAAUUCAGUGAAUCAUCGAAUCUUUGAACGCACAUUGCGCCCCCUGGUAUUCCGGGGGGCAUGCCUGUUCGAGCGUCAUUUCACCACUCAGGCCUCGCUUGGUAUUGGGCAACGCGGUCCGCCGCGUGCCUCAAAUCGACCGGCUGGGUCUUCUGUCCCCUAAGCGUUGUGGAAACUAUUCGCUAAAGGGUGCUCGGGAGGCUACGCCGUAAAACAAACCCAUUUCUAAGGUUGACCUCGGAUCAGGUAGGGAUACCCGCUGAACUUAAGCAUAUCAAUAAGCGGAGGA